rnacentral:rRNA from 1 species
GGAGGAAAAGAAACUAACUAGGAUUCCCUUAGUAACGGCGAGUGAACCGGGAUGAGCUCAAAUUUAAAAUCUGGCGUCUUUCAGGCGUCCGAGUUGUAAUCUAUAGAGGCGUUUUCCGCGCCGGACCGCGUCCAAGUCUCUUGGAAUAGAGUAUCAAAGAGGGUGACAAUCCCGUACUUGACGCGACAACCGGUGCUCUGUGAUACGUUCUCAAUGAGUCGAGUUGUUUGGGAAUGCAGCUCUAAAUGGGUGGUAAAUUCCAUCUAAGGCUAAAUAUUGGCGAGAGACCGAUAGCGAACAAGUACCGUGAGGGAAAGAUGAAAAGCACUUUGGAAAGAGAGUUAAACAGCACGUGAAAUUGUUAAAAGGGAAACGAUUGAAGUCAGUCGUGUGAAAGGUAUUCAGCCGUCUCUGGCGGUGUAUUUGCCUUUCACGGGUCAACAUCAGUUUGAUCCGGUAGAAAAAGGCAGGAGGAAGGUGGCACCCUCGGGUGUGUUAUAGCCUCUUGUCAUAUGUGCCGGACCAGACUGAGGAACGCAGCUUGCCGCAAGGCCGGGGUUCGCCCACGUACAAGCUUAGGAUGUUGACAUAAUGGCUUUAAACGACCCGUCUAA